rnacentral:rRNA from 1 species
GACGAACGCUGGCGGCGUGCUUAACACAUGCAAGUCGAACGGAAAGGCCCUGCUUUUGUGGGGUGCUCGAGUGGCGAGCGGGUGAGUAACACGUGAGUAACCUGCCCUUGACUUUGGGAUAACUUCAGGAAACUGGGGCUAAUACCGGAUAGGAUCUCCUGCUGCAUGGUGGGGGUUGGAAAGUUUCGGCGGUUGGGGAUGGACUCGCGGCUUAUCAGCUUGUUGGUGGGGUAGUGGCUUACCAAGGCUUUGACGGGUAGCCGGCCUGAGAGGGUGACCGGCCACAUUGGGACUGCGAUACGGCCCAGACUGCUACGGGAGGCAGCAGUGGGGAAUAUUGCACAAUGGGCGGAAGCCUGAUGCAGCAACGCCGCGUGCGGGAUGACGGCCUUCGGGUUGUAAACCGCUUUCGCCUGUGACGAAGCGUGAGUGACGGUAAUGGGUAAAGAAGCACCGGCUAACUACGUG